GGGUUGUGAGGUUAAGCGACUAAGCGUACACGGUGGAUGCCCUGGCAGUCAGAGGCGAUGAAGGACGUGCUAAUCUGCGAUAAGCGUCGGUAAGGUGAUAUGAACCGUUAUAACCGGCGAUUUCCGAAUGGGGAAACCCAGUGUGAUUCGUCACACUAUCAUUAACUGAAUCCAUAGGUUAAUGAGGCGAACCGGGGGAACUGAAACAUCUAAGUACCCCGAGGAAAAGAAAUCAACCGAGAUUCCCCCAGUAGCGGCGAGCGAACGGGGAGCAGCCCAGAGCCUGAAUCAGUGUGUGUGUUAGUGGAAGCGUCUGGAAAGGCGUGCGAUACAGGGUGACAGCCCCGUACACAAAAAUGCACAUACUGUGAGCUCGAUGAGUAGGGCGGGACACGUGGUAUCCUGUCUGAAUAUGGGGGGACCAUCCUCCAAGGCUAAAUACUCCUGACUGACCGAUAGUGAACCAGUACCGUGAGGGAAAGGCGAAAAGAACCCCGGCGAGGGGAGUGAAAAAGAACCUGA
rnacentral:rRNA from 1 species